rnacentral:rRNA from 1 species
AAUAACGGCUGGAAACGGUCGCUAAUACCGAAUACGCUCCGAUUUCGAACUUCGGGGGAAAGGUGGCCUCUGCUUGCAAGCUACUGCUCAUGGAUGAGUCCGCGUCCCAUUAGCUAGUUGGUGGGGUAACGGCCCACCAAGGCGACGAUGGGUAGCCGGUCUGAGAGGAUGACCGGCCACACUGGGACUGGAACACGGCCCAGACUCCUACGGGAGGCAGCAGUGGGGAAUAUUGCGCAAUGGGCGAAAGCCUGACGCAGCGACGCCGCGUGAAGGGAUGAAGGUCCUCGGAUCGUAAACCUCUGUCAGGAGGGAAGAACCGCCACGGUGCUAAUCAGCCGUGGUCUGACGGUACCUCCAAAGGAAGCACCGGCUAACUCCGUGCCAGCCGCUGC